rnacentral:rRNA from 1 species
CUCCGCCGGCGACCGGCGCACGGGUGAGUAACGCGUAUGCAACCUGCCCGUUUCAGCGGGAUAACCCGGAGAAAUCCGGCCUAAUACCGCAUGUGGCCGAGGGGAGGCAUCUUCUUUCGGCCAAAGGAGGCGACUCCGGAGACGGAUGGGCAUGCGUGACAUUAGCUAGUUGGCGGGGUAACGGCCCACCAAGGCGACGAUGUCUAGGGGUUCUGAGAGGAAGGUCCCCCACACUGGUACUGAGACACGGCCCAAACUCCUACGGAAGGCAGCAG